UGGAAGCAGAUAGAUGGGCUGGGAAGGAAAGACACCUGGGUCUUCCUAUUAAGCCACUUCCUGAAUGAAGGAACAUUCCUCAAUGGAAGCUGGUCCUGAGGAUCUGAGCCUGCUAGUGGUCAGGGCAGAUCCUGUGGCUUCCUUCUGGCCUCAGCAUCUUUCCUCUCUUCAUUGUGUCCUCAUCUACCCAGUCUACACCAGGACCCAUAAGUCACAGUCCUUUCUCCACUGUGUGCCUUCCACUUAGCUAAGUAGGAAGGGGAGGGGUAGAGAACUUAAAAAGCUGACCUAGUAACAUUCUUUUUGUUUCUGUGUUGAUAGGCGCAGUCCUUUGAACCAACAGAGAUGUUACCAGUGACAUUCCAAGCUGAGGGAUAUCAAGAUAUCUUGCAUUUGGGGACUUUAAAGAUCCCUCAGUUCCACCAACCACCAUUAACUGCCAUUUCACAGUGUCUAGGUGACAGACUACAAACGUCUUGACGGAGGGAUCUAUGACUCAUCAAUCGUUUCCUUCCGGAAGUGGCACGUGGCCUGUGUUUAUCAUGUCUGCCUUGCGAAUGAACGCAGAUGACUGUUCAGAUUUAACGCAGUCCUCGUUCUGCUUAAAGACAUAUUACUCAAGCGCUCACUUUCCAGAGUGUUUGGCUGUCAAUCUAUCUGACAGCUAUAACAGAGUACCAUUCAAAAGUGACUUUUAAACAACUGAAACUAAUCUCUGACAAUUCUGGAGACUGGAAACCAUGAGAUCAAGGCACCAGAAGAUUUGAUGUUGGACACGGACUUUCUGGGUUCACGGAGGCCAUCUUCCAGCUGUUGCUGUAUCACUUCGGAAAUUAAAACUUCAACGUGGGGCACGGGGGCACUGCAAUAACGUGCUAAAAAUGUCAUUUGGGAUGGGUCGCACUGGGAUCUAAUCUGUGAGGACUUCAUCUGGCCUCUCAAGCGUCCAUGCUGUGUGUUGUUUUUCUCUGUACCGUGGCUAGGAGGAAUGGAUGCUCACACCUCCAGGUAGUAAACAAGAAUGGAGAAACAGAAGCUGUCGAUGUGUACGCGGGCACCUUAGCUCCUAAGGCGGUUGGACGUGAAUGAGUGUGGAUGUACAUCGGUGGGAUCCCUCAAAGCGUAGUCUCUCUCACACACUCGCUGAUAUUGUAUUAGGG
ensembl:lncRNA